rnacentral:tRNA from 1 species
UAAGAUGUUAACAGAGACUUCUAAUCUCCCUAUAGCACUUACUGCUACAUCUUAU